CAGUUUUGCAAGAAGGAAUUGGCAAAAAUCCUGUGGUACGAUGUGGCAAGCUCAAAGAGACUUAUCCAAAGCAACUUGGAGCUGUGAUUGCCGCAAAAGGUGGCUCUACAAAGUAUUGACUUUAGGGGGAAAAAGUAUUAAAUUUUUCU